rnacentral:rRNA from 1 species
AGCCACUGCUAUCGGGCUCCGACUAAGCCAUGCGAGUCAAGGGGCUCCUUCGGGAGCACCGGCGGACGGCUCAGUAACACGUGGGCAACCUACCCUCGGGUGGGGGAUAACCUCGGGAAACUGAGGCUAAUACCCCAUAGGCCUCGGAUACUGGAAGGUUCCGAGGCUGAAAGCUCCGGCGCCCGAGGAUGGGCCUGCGGCCUAUCAGGUAGUUGGUGGUGUAAAGGACCACCAAGCCUGCGACGGGUACGGGCCCUGAGAGGGGGAGCCCGGAGAUGGACUCUGAGACACGAGUCCAGGCCCUACGGGGCGCAGCAGGCGCGAAACCUUCGCAAUGCGCGAAAGCGCGACGAGGGGAGCCCGAGUGCCCUUCCUUUUGGGAGGGCUUUUCCGGAGUCUAAAAAGCUCCGGGAAUAAGGGCUGGGCAAGACGGGUGCCAGCCGCCGCGGUAAUACCCGCAGCUCGAGUGGUGGCCACUAUUAUUGAGCCUAAAGCGUCCGUAGCCGGACCCGUAAAUCCCUGGGUAAAUCCUGGCGCUCAACGUCAGGAAUUCCGGGGAGACUGCGGGUCUUGGGACCGGGAGAGGCCGGAGGUACUCCCGGGGUAGGGGUAAAAUCCUGUAAUCCCGGGGGGACCACCUGUGGCGAAAGCGUCCGGCUUGAACGGCUCCGACGGUGAGGGACGAAGGCCAGGGGAGCAAACCGGAUUAGAUACCCGGGUAGUCCUGGCUGUAAACGCUGCCCGCUUGGUGUUGUCGGUCUCUCGGGGGCCGGCAGUGCCGGAGCGAAGGUGUUAAGCGGGCCGCUUGGGGAGUACGGCCGCAAGGCUGAAACUUAAAGGAAUUGGCGGGAGAGCACUGCAACGGGAGGAGCGUGCGGUUU